UGGGAGGUCAUAUCUUGGCCGAAUGGGCUAAUGUGCUGAGUUGACAGUCUUGCUAGGCGGAGGGUGCCAGGUCGCUGGUUCGACCCCGGGUUGGAGCGUAAAAUUUCAGUACUUAGUUGUGAAUAUUUAGUGCUCUAUAUAUUAAUUAUUUGAAUUUCACAUGUAUCUUUCAGUAUAUAUUACAUAGUUUGAGGUUUUUUUUCUAAGCUUGAUGGGUGAAGAACUAGAAAUGGAAUUUUUUUUAAUUCAGUAUGGGUCUGAUUUACAGUAUUUAUUUUUUCUCCUGACAGCGACUCCACAAAUUCAUUCGAGGAGUUCGAACAAAUGUGGUUGAAGAUGAGUGAAGAGUUGGAAAUGGAAGGCCUGCCAAAGCGGCCUUCCACUCCUACCCCCGAAAGUACAAGUCAAACCGAGACAAUUCUACUUAAAAGACCUGAGAGCCAGCACAACUGCGGCACCUCAGCCAGUUACAUGUACUCGCCGGCCAUGGAUUCAAACUGGCGGUUAGCAA